UACGUAGGGGGCAAGCGUUGUCCGGAUUUAUUGGGCGUAAAGAGCGUGUAGGCGGCUGGGUAGGUCCGUUGUGAAAACUCGAGGCUCAACCUCGAGACGCCGAUGGAAACCCUCCAGCUAGAGUCCGGAAGAGGAGAGUGGAAUUCCUGGUGUAGCGGUGAAAUGCGCAGAUAUCAGGAAGAACACCCGUGGCGAAGGCGGCUCUCUAGUACGGUACUGACGCUGAGACGCGAAAGCGUGGGGAGCGAACAGG
rnacentral:rRNA from 1 species